CCAUCUAAACCAUGUUUGUUUGGACUUCUAUUUCAUCUUUUGGUGCUUCUACCAAUCUCAAAAGCACUUCUCCCGUUUACACAUUAAACUGAAAAGCACCUCCGAACGUGUUUCUCAGCUAGAAGCACCAAAAACACCUCCGGAGAUGCUUCUCAGCUUCAUGUGUAAACAGGAAAAGUGUUUUUGAGAUUGUUAAAAAGACCAAAAGCCCAAACAAACCGGACCUAAGUAAGGCAUGGGGUUCGAGAGCUCGGGGGUGCCAUGGCGGAUGACGAGACGACGCUGAAGAAGCGGAAGGUGCACGACGACUGGGCCAUCGAGAACCGGGAGCGCAAGGAGGAGAAGCGGCAGCGCCACCACGACGACGGCAAGGGCGCCAUCAAGAGGCCCGGGUAAUUCGUCAGGGCAAGAAGCUCAGAUUCCUGCUGAUGCACAUCCGCCUCAAGGCCCGCAUGGCCUCGCACGAUUCAUCGCUUUCCGGUGCAGGUAACGCCACCCGUCUCGAUCACCCUCCCUCUUUCCCCUUUUCUCCUCGGCUUCGUCGUCUGUGGCCCAAAUCUGAGCGCCCAUCGUGCAUAGAUUCCCCAUCCGCUCCUAAACGUAACUCCGUGAUUUCAAUGCGCAGGUGUUUUGUCGCGGCGUCUUCCGUCGCCGGUGCACGCAGCCGGCGGCUGUGUGUUGCCGUGACUGUGCAUAUAAUUUGCACAAUCAGGCUCUGGUCCUCCGUCGGCUUCGCCCUCCCCUCCUACAUGGCCCGGGUGCAUUCUCCCCGUGCUUUCGUUGGUUGUGUUUUCUGCUCUCCUUGGUAAUUGACUCGGCAACGGAAGUAUACAUUAAGAAGCUCUUUUGUUGUUACUGUAACUAGCACGGUGGCCCGCGCAUAGACCCGAUGAUGGUUGUUGUAUCUGUUUUUUACGUGUUGAUGAUCUUUUUAUUUUUUACCCUUUUUGAUUUCUUACCGUACUGGUAUAUUUUCUCUAGUCGGGUUUAUAAGUCCCACACGGAAUUUUAUAAGGGACUUUGGUGAAACAUUAUUUGGCAAUACGACGUUAUCGCGACACAAAAGAGAUAUCGUUGUAUUCGUAUUGAAAAACUCAAUCAAUAGUAUAACGUUUAUAUACCUA